GGUUGGAUCCCUGCCUUGUGCGGCGACGUCCUACCUUGCUAACCACUUCAUUGUUGGCACAAUUUGCAUUGGCCGUCUGUUGGUUUCCUGUGUUGCGUACCUACUCGAUGGAAUUCGGUUGUCAAUCUCUCGACGUUCGCCUUAGGCUGCCUCGAUGCGGUUGAGGGUGAAACUCGAAACGAGAUUCGUGUCCCUCGUACUGUACGUUUCGUGCCGGUUACUUGGUCCUUGAAUUCUCGCUCGGGCGCUGGGAUGCAGAAAACGAUGAGGGCACGGAGUCCCCGGCUCCUAUUUGUCCGCAAAGGCUUGAAGGCCUAUUUCGAACGACGUUCGGUCCCGUUCCGGACUUGUGCCGUGCGGGUCGAUGUCCGUGAGGAAUGCUAC
rnacentral:misc_RNA from 1 species